rnacentral:tRNA from 1 species
GCCCGAGUAGCUCAGUGGUAGAGCAGCUCAUUCGUAAUGAGCAGGUCAGGGGUUCGAAUCCCCUCUCGGGCUCCA